AAGUUAACAACCAAAUCUUGGAACUUAAUUCCAUCACGGUUAUUAAUACUGUGUUGCUUAGAACUUGGUGGAGGUGAUCAUAAUUCCAAGUGUAGAGGUGAAAUUCGUUGAUAUUUGGAGGAGUACCAAAGGCGAAGGCAGAUCAUCAUGCUAAGUUGACACUGAAGGUGCGAAAGCAUGGGGAGCAAACAGGAUUAGAUACCCUGGUAGUCCAUGCCCUAAACGUUGAGAGCUAACAGUUAAACGACAUAUGUCAAACCAUAUUUUCGUUGAUUGUACAACUAACGUGUUAAGCACUCCGCCUGGGGAUUACGACCGCAAGGUUAAAACUCAAAGGAAUUGACGGAGACCCGCACAAGCGGUGGAGCAUGUGGUUUAAUUCGAAGCUACACGAAGAACCUUACCAGCCCUUGACAUACCAAGAUUUAACAUCCUGGAAACAGGAUGCCAAUUCAAUGGCUAAGACCCGUUGAACAACUUGGAACAGGUGCUGCAUGGCUGUUGUCAGCUCGUGUCGUGAGAUGUAUGGUUAAGUUCCAUAACGAGCAUAACCCUCAUCCAUAGUUGCCGAAAACAAGUAAUGAGUGGCUCUCUAUGGAGACUGCCAACGUAAGUUGGAGGAAGGUGAGGACCACAACAAGUCAUCAUGGCCCUUAUGGGCUGGGCCACACACGUGCUACAAUGGUAGGUACAAAGAGUCGCAAUACCGCGAGGUGGAGCUAAUCUCAUUAAAACCUAUCUCAGUCCGGAUUGUACUCUGCAACCCGAGUACAUGAAGUAGGAAUCGCUAGUAAUCGUGGAUCAGCAUGCCACGGUGAAUACGUUCUCGGGUCUUGUACACACCGCCCGUCACACCAUGGGAGUCAUUUUUGUUUCAAGUCCAUUCAGAUAUGGACGUCGACAACGUUGAUGACCGAGGUGAAGUCGUAACAAGGUAGCCGUAGGUGAACCUGUGGCUGAAACAGAU
rnacentral:rRNA from 1 species